UGGGGAAUAUUGCACAAUGGGGGAAACCCUGAUGCAGCAACGCCGCGUGAGUGAUGACGGUCUUCGGAUUGUAAAGCUCUGUCUUCAGGGACGAUAAUGACGGUACCUGAGGAGGAAGCCACGGCUAACUACGUGCCAGCAGCCGCGGUAAUACGUAGGUGGCGAGCGUUGUCCGGAUUUACUGGGCGUAAAGGGAGCGUAGGCGGACUUUUAAGUGAGAUGUGAAAUACUCGGGCUUAACCUGAGUGCUGCAUUUCAAACUGGAAGUCUAGAGUGCAGGAGAGGAGAAGGGAAUUCCUAGUGUAGCGGUGAAAUGCGUAGAGAUUAGGAAGAACACCAGUGGCGAAGGCGCUUCUCUGGACUGUAACUGACGCUGAGGCUCGAAAGCGUGGGGAGCAAACAGG
rnacentral:rRNA from 1 species